rnacentral:rRNA from 1 species
CCCGCUGAACUUAAGCAUAUCAAUAAGCGGAGGAAAAGAAACUAACAAGGAUUCCCCUAGUAACUGCGAGUGAAGCGGGACGAGCUCAAAUUUUGAAUCUGGCGGUCUGUGGCCGUCCGAGUUGUAAUCUAGAGAAGUGUUGUCCGCGCUGGACCGUGUACAAGUCUCCUGGAAGGGAGCGUCCUAGAGGGUGAUAAUCCCGUCUCUGACACGGAGUCCCAGUGCUUUGUGACGCGCUCUCGACGAGUCGAGUUGUUUGGGAAUGCAGCUCAAAUUGGGUGGUAAAUUCCAUCUAAAGCUAAACACAGGCGAGAGACCGAUAGCGAACAAGUACCGUGAGGGAAAGAUGAAAAGAACUUUGGAAAGAGAGUUAAACAGUACGUGAAAUUGCUGAAAGGGAAACGCUUGAAGUCAGUCGCGUCGGCUUGGGAUCAGCCUUGCUCUUUUGCUCGGUGUAUUCUCUUGUCGACGGGUCAGCAUCAAUUUUGGUUGCUGGAUAAAGGCUUAGGGAAUGUGGCACCUCUCGGGGUGUGUUAUAGCCCUUUGCUGCAUACAGCGGCUGGGAUUGAGGAACUCAGUACGACCUUCGGGUUUGGGGCUGCGGCCUACAAAUGUACUUAGGAUGCUGGCAUAAUGGCUUUAAUCGACCCGUCUUGAAACACGG